AUUCAAUCUUUUUAUAAAUUAAUUUCAAUUUUUGAAUUUCCCUCGAGAAAUUAGUAAAGAUUUAUCCCAAACCCUUUCCGCGCUUUCUUUAUUACCUCCGUUGUGCCUCUGAUCCUAACUUCCACCAUCGCGCCCUGUCGCUGUUGAGAGCCUUCCCGUCUUUCCCUCUGUUCGGACGUAUUUUCAUCGUCGUCGUUAAAGCUUCAAUUAUCGCCUCUUAAUAGCUAUAUCACAUGGUGGAGAACCAUGCAUUUUAAGAGAAUUAGCUGAUAACGUUAAAAAAAGAAAAAGCAUAACAAUACUAAAAAUUGACGUCGCCUGAGAGAUUCGAACUCUCGCGGGGAAACCCCAUGUACUUAGCAGGCACACGCCUUAACCACUCGGCCAAAGCGACUUUGUUGGGACUUUGGAGGCGUCGUUUGCAGGUGGAGAAUGUGUAAAUUCAGUUCAUGGGGGAUUAGCAUGCUGCUAAUGUUGUUAGGAUCACUGGAAGGUAGGAUAAUUGUUGUGGAUUUCUCGCUGGUGACAGAUUUUCGAGAAUUGCAGGCAGUGAGGAAAACACUUGCAAUCGUGGCGGCUAUUUGAAUUUCAUGCAUUUUAAGAGAAUUAACUGUUAAUGUUUUGUCUUCUUUUUUUUUGUCAGAAAAAAAAAACAUAAAGAUAUUAGAAAAUGACGUCGCCUGAGAGAUUCGAACUCUCGCGGGGAAACCCCAUGUACUUAGCAGGCACACGCCUUAACCACUCGGCCAAAGCGACUUUGUUGGGACUUUGGUGUCAAUGAUUUUGUGGUUUUGUUGAAGGAGGUGUUUAUUUGUUAUAUGUGUUUUGUGGACUUUCGGUCUGGCUAGAUAUGUAUACUUAUCUUCAAGUGGAGCAUCUUGUGAUGGGGAUGACACUCCCGCCUUAACUAUAAGAAAUAAACCAUGUUGAUCUUCUACUAUGAGAUAGUUCCAGAAAUAUAUGUCAUAUGAUGAUUUAAGGGUUAGUUGGCUUAACAUCCUGACGAGAAGAAAAAUUACCGAUCAAGGAUCGUCAAGUGUUCACUUCAAACAGUUCUAUAAAGAAAGACAUUGCAUAACAGUGAAAUUGCAUGGCUGAAAUUCAGUCUACGAAAACACCAUCCACUGAGCAAUAUUAAAAAUGACGUCGCCUGAGAGAUUCAAACUCUCACGGGGAAACCCCAUGUACUUUGCAGGCACACGCCUUAAUCACUCAGCCAAAGCGACUUUGUUGAGGCUUUGGUGUUAAGGAUUUUGUCGUUUUGCUGAAGGAGGUGUUUAUUUGUUACAUGUGUUUCGGUAAGCAUUCACAAAUUCAGAUGAUUCUUUAUGUGAAUUUCAUUCGACAUGUACCUUUUUUUUUUGUUUAAUCUUUGAAACAAGGUGGUUUAUAGCUUGGUUGCAGGUUAGGAUUAUAAUUCAUCUUCUUGAGCGAUAUUUUGUUAUCGAUGUUCUUCUCUCUGUCAUAAAUCAAAUUGCUUAUUGUCUGUUUUUUUAUCAGACAACUAUUGCAGCAGUAAGUGUGGGUUAGGGACUUUGAAAGACAGGUUUUUUAGUUUAACUUUCAAAAAACACUAUAUUAAAGUAUGCAGACACCAAAGCCUCCUUAGACUGUCCUAUUUUGAUACUUUGACAACGUCCCUUCUUAAUUAAUCACUUUUUGUUGAAAUUUAAUUGCCUACUUCAGUGUUAUUGUAUUUUUGCUCUGGUUAUUCAUUGACGUCAUGUAUAGUGAUAAAGCUUUCGUUUUCCUUUAGUACAGUUUUUCCUUUUCUUCUGUGCUUGUGUGCCAUUUAUUGGUUCUGGUGCUACUUGUGAGUGAAUAAAUCUGCUUCUUUUUUGUUCUCUCUCGAGUAAUGAUGAUUUAAGGGUUAGCUGGCUUAACAUCCUGAUGAGAAGAAAGUUACCAAUCAAGGAUUUCAAGUGUUCGCCUCAACCAGUUCUAUAGAAACGACAUUGCAUGACAGUGGAAUUGCAUGGCUGAAAUUCAGUGUAAGAAAACACCAACCACUAAAAGUGUCUUAUUCUUUUAUCGCAAACAUUUACCAUUUCUUUGUUACUUUUCUUAAAUUCUGCAGGGAAAAAAAAUCUUGAAUUGGUUAUUUUAAGAAUUUGUUUAAAAAGGCCACUUUUUUUUAAAUAAUUGAUUUAAAUAGUGAUAUUUGAAAUUGUUUAUUGUAAUAUUUUUUUGAAAAGUCACAUUUUAAAUUAGUAAAAAGCCAAUGUAAAAACGAAUUUUUAUGGCUAUUUUCUUAUGAUCAUCAAUGUAAAAAUUCUGAAAUAGUUAAUGUAAAAUGAGCAUUUUUUUUUAUAGUAUCAAUGAAUUAGACAUUAUUAACUAGUUUGAAUAAACAAGAGAUUAAAAGUAUAAUUUACUAAAAAAAUUAAGCGUAGUUGUGACCUCAUACUAAAAUCAUAAGUCAUUGGAUUCAACUUGUUUAAAUCAUUAGUUAACGUUAACUGUUGAUAAAAAAGGAGUAUACCAUUGCGGACAAUAAAAUAAAUAUAAAAACCGAAAAUACUAAGAAAUAUCGUCUAGAGACCAAAAUAAAAAAUGUAGAAAUAAGAACCAAAA